rnacentral:rRNA from 1 species
GUGAGGAAUUUUCCGCAAUGGGCGAAAGCCUGACGGAGCAAUGCCGCGUGAAGGAUGAAGGCCUAUGGGUUGUAAACUUCUUUUCUCAGAAAAGAAUUAUGACGGUAUCUGAGGAAUAAGCAUCGGCUAACUCUGUGCCAGCAGCCGCGGUAUGACAGAGGAUGCAAGCGUUAUCCGGAAUGAUUGGGCGUAAAGCGUCUGUAGGUUGUUUAAAAAGUAUUCUGUCAAAGAUUAGGGCUUAACCCUAGAUAGGCAGAAUAAACUUUUAAGCUAGAGGUUGGUAGAGGCAGAGGGAAUUCCCAGUGGAGCGGUGAAAUGCGUAGAUAUCGGGAGGAACACCAAAGGCGAAGGCACUCUGCUGGGCCAAUACUAACACUGAGAGACGAAAGCGAGGGGAGCAAAUGGGAUUAGAAACCCCAGUAGUCC